ensembl:snoRNA
UUGCAACCCAAUUAAUCUGCCUACCUGAAUGUGUUACCACAGAAAUUUAGAAACAGCUGGCAAUAGUGGUGUCAUUUUAUGAGCUUUAAAGACAACAAGUCAUUACAGUCUCUCAAAAUGGCUACAAUA